AGCUUUGAUUGUAUGUCCUGGAAAUCUGAUGGUUCUAGGAUACUCUCAGAGGUGUUGGCCCCCAAAAUACUUCCUAAUAAAUCUCCUGCAUGAAAUCACCAUCUCAAAGUGUACCUUCUGGAGAAUACAGUGUUUGGAAAGCAGUAACUCAUGGCUAAAUACAGCAAUAUGCUCUGGAGUUCACUUGGAUACUUCCCUAGGCAAAAGGCAAGUCCAAUUAUGGAUAAACAUGGCUAGACUACGAGCUCAACAUCAAGAAAAGCCAUUUCACCUAUGUAACCAACUAACCUAGAUGACCAAGCCUAAUUACAGAGUUUUCAUUCAAAACCACUUUGUGCUUGGUAGACACUGAAUUGAAGCAAGGCAGCAAGUGGGUCUCACAGCCAAUCCCUCAAAGACAGUAUCAAAAGCAGGAACUUCUUAAAACACUAGAAACUGAACUAGUACUUUACAACCUGUCAGCAAACUAAAGACCACACAAAGAUUAUUCACCUUAAUCAAAAACAUGGGACCAGCUCAGCAGCUCAUCACCACAGAAAAUAGAUGAAUGGAAAGAAAAUGGCUGCUCUAGACACGAGGCCAUUUCUGGAAAUCAGGAUGGUGACAUUGGAGAAGAAACUGAAGAUUCUUGGAGAAAUAUUAACUUCAUCUCAGUAAAAUGGAAGGCUUGCCAUGUUUCUCCUGUGGCUUUGACUACCCUGGCACAUUGUACCUGCAACUUCCCUGCCUGGCCCUCACCCUGAGGCACAAAGACUCC
rnacentral:antisense_RNA from 1 species